rnacentral:rRNA from 1 species
UGGGGAAUUUUGCACAAUGGGGGAAACCCUGAUGCAGCGACGCCGCGUGAUUUAGAAGGCCUUCGGGUUGUAAAAAUCUUUUUUACGGGAUGAAAAUGACAGUACCGUAAGAAUAAGGUCCGGCUAAAUACGUGCCAGCAGCCGCGGUAAUACGUAUGGACCGAGCGUUGUCCGGAAUCAUUGGGCGUAAAGGGUACGUAGGCGGCCUAGUAAGUUAGAAGUGAAAUAAUAUAGCUCAACUAUAUAUAGCUUUUAAAACUGCUAGGCUUGAGAGAUGGAAGGGAAAGUGAAAUUCCUAGUGUAGCGGUGAAAUGCGCAGAUAUUAGGAAGAAUACCGGUGGCGAAGGCGACUUUCUGGUCAUCAUCUGACGCUGAGGUACGAAAGCGUGGGUAGCAAACAGG